CUGGAAUCGGAUCUCAAUUCUUCUAACGGAUCCGUUUGGGAUCCGCGACUCCCCACCCAAAGUCCAACCACCGAUCCAUCGCCAGCCGCAGCUCGGCCGUCCGUUCCCAAAUCGUUGCGGAUAGCCUCCGGCGGAGGCCAACCCGAAGACAGAAGAAGAAGAGGCAGAUGUUGACGAUGAUGGACUUCGCCCUCGCAAAUGGUCUGCUGCCUUCGCCGUUGCGGUCACCUCUGUCGCUUCUCGUGGGCGCCGGCCGCAAGUGCUAUAGCCGUGGCGUCGGCGGUGGCAACCAGAGGUUCUUUGGACGAGGAAUUUGGGAUCUUCAGCACGCGAGGACGAAAUCGAGAGUCCGUUCUGGGCUAGAGGACGCGGAUUCGCUGAGAAGAAACUCGAAGCCACUAUACCACCCUUUCGAGGAAAUCGAAGAGCUAGUUGCUUCCAGUGACGAUGAGGAGAGGCGCCUCACUGAUGCCGAGACCGCAAGAACCAUAAUUGAGGUCAAUAGCAAAGCAGCCGUCAUGUUUUCAGGAUUUAUUGAUGAUCAAGUCCAUGAGAAUAUUAUCUGGCCUGAAUUUCCCUAUCUAACUGAUGAACAAGGAGAUAUCUAUUUUGAGGUGAAUAAGGAGAAAGAAGUUCUUCAAAGUUUGGUUACAGAUGAUAAGUUAUUGAAAGUUAUAAUUGGCUUGGACAAUAUAGAAAUGCUAGCUGAGAUGGAAGUGUUAGGGCCAUCUGAUCUUGAAUUUGAAGUAGAAGAAAUCUCAAGCAGUGAAGAUGACAUUGAUGAUGAAUCCGAAGAGCAGGAUGUGAUGGCUAUUCUUGACGAAGUAGAUCAACUUCUCUCGUCUGAGAAUAUAAGUGAUUGGACAAAUUUGGAAACAAUGCAGUCUUGUCAUCCAAUAUUUUUUGCUAAGAAAAUGGAGGAGUCUAUAUCAAAUGUUAAUUUGGACUGGAUGGAUCAGCCUCCUGCUAGCAUUGUCAUCCAAGGUCAUUUGAGACCUGCCUUUGCUGAAGAGAGCAUAAAUAUCAAAAAGCUUCCUUAUGCUGGUGAAUUUGAUAUGGAUCAAAGUCUGCAGAGUGGAGCUACAUUUUACAAACUGGAGAUGCUUAAUAUUCAGAUAGUCUCUGCAUACGGAAAUCAGUCAACAGUAAAAAUCCAUAAUUUUCGGGAAGCCCAACCAGAUGUUCUUGCACAUUCUGCUGUGAACAUCAUAUCUCGCUUAAAAGCUGGUGGGGAAAAGAUAUCUCAAGCUCUUAAAUUGCUAUGUAUUAGGCAAAAGAGUAUUCAUGUGGAGGUAUUGUGGAGGCUGUUGUAAUUGGGGUGGACAGUCUUGGUUUUGACUUGAGAAUUUGCUCAGGAAGGCAAGUCCAAACUCUAAGAUUUGCAUUUGGCUCACAAGCCACAUCAGAGUUUGGCGCGGAAAGACAGCUCCAUGAUCUUCUAUUUCCGAGGCUUCAGCAGACAUGGCAACAAGCUCAUCAGGGAGUUGACAGUCGACACAUUUGAUCCAUGCUUUUGCAGUUGAAUCUUGCAGCGGGGCUGUGUGGGGAUCGACAGCAGCAGCGAGUUCUGUUAUAUGUUUUCCUAAUCUAUAAGAGCCAAUGUUGCUCCCUCUGAUGAUGCAUCGUCUGCUUCUAUGUAUGAAAUUUAGGCCUUUUACUGCAUAUGUAGUAACUUGGCUGUCUAUGCCUCAGUCUCAACUUGCAUGUGGACGUUCUAAUUUCAUCCGGUAGUCAGCAAGAACUGUAGCGAAGGAGGAUCCAUUUUCUAGGCAAACUGGGACUUCUUUUUUGUUUUUGUUUUUGAGUUGGCCAUUAUUUGUCGUGAUGUGUAAUGUUGAACAAUGGAAACAGUCCCAUGCAUUUGGGCACGUCUGCAUCCUAUUUGAUCAACAAAAUAUAUAUUUUUUCAACUACCA